CUGUGCUAGAUGGGGAGUUAGCGGUUCCCUGUAUCCUGAAACCCGCUUUAUGCAGGAUUGAAUACCGGUAGGAGGGUUUUGCUGAAUUUGAAAUGGUUUAUAAGUAGUGUUGAUGCUUUCAGCUUUACGCAAUAGACUUGUUUUUAAUCCCGUCAGAUCCGGAAGGAAGCAGCGGUAGAAAUAUUGCUUAUGUGCCGUAAAUUUCUGAAACUGAGCUGGCUGUAAAACAGAUCAUUUAAACAGAAAACACAACUGCCGGUGCACAG
rnacentral:SRP_RNA from 1 species